AUUCUUCGUUACCCAGUUUGUGCGCCAACCAUAUUCAAAUCCUGAUCCGCUCUUCCCUCCAAAACAAGGAAAUGGCGCCACCUCGCAACCAACCCCUCUCACUGCCUCCGUCGCCGCACUCCCUCCGUCGCCUCCUCCACGCCCGCCUCCCGCCCCUCCUCCUCCUCGCCGCGCACGCGCUCGCCGCCGUCGCCGGCCACCUCUCCGGCCCCGACCCACGCCACCCGCACACGCUCCUCCUCCUCGCUUACUCCCGCCACGCGUCCU
rnacentral:lncRNA from 1 species